CGAGAUCUUUGUCUUUUAUUGAUCCGAAUAUCAAUUGAGGAUAUACUUGAAAAUGGAAUCCAAACAUCGAAGGAGGAUACACUAGGAGAGUAAUGUUUGUCCGAGCGUCCAAGCAUCCUGUUUAAGCACCUUGCAGUUACUCAGACCGGAUACUCAACUAUCCAUUACUCACAUUCGAGUAUUAUUUGGUCUUCCUCCAUCUUUAACUAAUGAUUUUUUCCCUUUUAACUAUGUUGCAUAUACACAUGCAUAUCAUGUAUGCAUGCAAAAGAAUUGUUUUGCUUGAAAAUUAUACAAUUGAAUGACUAUAAAUCGAAUACCAUGUACUGUUGUGUAUGUGAGCUAUAUUUCGAUUUCAUGGGACAGAAAUCAUAUCAUCUUCUCAAAUUUAUCAAGUUUCUUCACUCUUUGCAUUGACCUUAGAAGCAGUGUCAAGAAAACUCCUGCACCAAUGAAAGAUCCAUUUGCAAUAACUUCACUCCCUUGACUGCUAAAGGUUAUCCCAAGAUUUAGUAGGGUACCUCCCAAGACAGUGUACAUAGUUGCCAUUUGUAGGAUUGUUGCUUUUCUAGCUGCUCUUUCGGACUCAAGCACGCGAACUCGAAGUUUUAAAUCUCCUGAUUCAAGUUGCUUCACAAACUCUUCUAUCCGUUGAACUCUGGAAGGCAUGGACAUGGUAGAACUUCUUGCCUGAAAACACAUAUAAUAGAAGUGCUCUCAAUAAAUGCAUCAUCUACAUUCUAUUGUAUUUUUGUUAAGGGGUUUCUGAUGGAACUACAGUCAGGAGGGAAAUGAAGCUACAAAAUGAAUAUAAAGCAAAUGGCAAUACAUCAUUCGCUUGUUUCCUUAUUUCUUCCACCAGUCGUGUUCCUGAAUGCCGCUUGGUUCUUAGAUCUAAAAGUUCCUGCAAGUGGAGCAAAACAUGAGUGAAUUAAACAAGGGCCCCAUCAACGUACAGGGAAAAGCUUGUCGUGUCCAAAGGAGCCAGGCAGACAUAUGAAACCUGAGCAUAAGGGGCAGCAAUCUUCACAAAGGAAAAAUUUGGAUCAAGAAUGUAGCCGAUACCUUCAAGCGUUGAAAAUGCUCUUAUAACAAAUGUAAAGGUUGAUGGAAACCGAAAAGGCUGAUCCACAGCGAUUGCAAAUAAAUCCUCCCCAAUUGCAGCCAAGGUCUGUUGCUGAUCAGGUGUCUGGCUCAACAAAUUGUCCAAGAAGAACUGUACAGAUCUCCUUACCUAGCAAAGUACCAAAAUAAAAUUACUAGCAACAAUUAAUAAUGUCAAGCAUUUCAAAAAUUCAUAUAAGUCACUAAGCAACCAUUUUCCUCAAAUAUUGGUUAUUUUGUAUGGCACCUACGGAUGACAAAUCUCCAGUGGGCUGAAGUGCUUCAAGAUCUAUGAGGCUUUGCAUAACCUGCAGGGCUGAUACUUGUCAGUUACACCAAUAAAGCAAGGAGAAGAAACUUCAUGCAUUAAAACUUUUCUAGUGACUUCAACCCAAGUUUCUGAAUGUGCUUAUCCUUAACCAAGAAAUGACUGAUCAGUUGGGGAUUAGGAUGGAGCAUUCAGGCUUCCAUAAAUUUGAGAAUGUGCCUAUAAGCAUUUAGACUGAGAUGAAUGCUUUAUUUGAUACUAGAAAUUCUAUGCAAUUGACAGCUUAGUGCAAUGCAUUUCCUCUGAUGUCAAAGACAGGAUUGAUGGAAUGGAUAACCUGCAAAUGAAGGUGAUGCUGGAAACCAGAGCUGAUAGAAAUUUGCAGAAAAUGGAAGUUGCUAUAUAAUUCUGAUUGAUGUUGCAUCUUUAGUUACUGACCUGCAGUAAGUUCUAAUACAGCAGCUAUAAUUUCAUAAAACUGGUGCCAGUCCAGUUUAAAUAUGCAAGUUCUAACUCUAGAGACUUGUUCCUUGUAGCUUUGUGUAAUGUUCAAGGGUUUAUAGAAGGCUUGCCUCUACUUUAGUCACUUCUGGAAUGAAUGAAAUCAUUUGUCCGCAAAAAGGGAACAAAGAAAUGAUCUUUAAAACAUAUCUCACCAUAUCAUAUUCUGCUGCUCAGUGAUUUAAGACUCUUCUACUAUUGACACCUGUAGUUUUCAUCCUUUUACAUUGAUUUUGAUUAUUUUUGGUUUAAGUGAAGCUAAGCACAGGGCAACAUUAUCAGGCUCUGGUUUUUUGCAUACCGAUUAUUCACAGGAAGUUGUGAAUCAAAACUCUAGAAAAUAAUUUUAUUUUCGCAACUAUCUAGUUUUGAUUCACUGACAUGCUAUAAAUCAUUAAAAUGUCCACCUGAAACUCCUUGUUGUCAAUGUUGCCAAGAAAUUCCUUCCAUUAGUUUAAGGAUACUGCUAACAGUUGAAGGACUACAUAAGUGACACAGUAUGGGUGAGAAUAAAACACAGUCGUGUCAUAUAAAUACAUGUAUAUAUAAGCAUUUGUAUCAUAUAAAAUAUUAAUACCAUGACAGAAAAAAAAUACAAAAAAGGUUGUAACUAGCAUGUGAGAAACUUCAGUUUUUCAUCCUAUAAAUCAAUAUAGAGUCAGAAAAAUUCAAAAGUAACAGUAUCAAGAGAUAGAAUAUGAACCUUUUUCGCAUCUUUCUCAUAAACUGCAUAGAAAAGUUCAAGCAGCCUCUCUCGAGUAAAAGACUUGAUCUCUCCCAUCAUACCAAAGUCAUAAUAGAUGAUUGCUUGAUCCAUAUCGAUGGCAAGAUUUCCAGGAUGAGGAUCCGCAUGAAAGAAACCAGUUUUUAAAAUCUGAAUCAAGUAUGCCUCAAUUAUUCGUGACGAAAUUUGAGCACGAUUAUAUCCUCUUGAAGCCAACAUAUCUAGUUGAUUUAUCUUAACACCUGGUACAUACUCCAAUGUCAGCACCUUUGUGGCAGUAUAAUCCCAAAAUACCAGAGGUACUCGGACCCACUUCACAUUCCGAAAAUCUCGGCGGAAUCUGUCAGCAUUUUUGCCUUCAUUAAUAUAAUCAAUCUCUUGGUACAAAAUCUUGGCACAUUCUUCAUAUAUACCAAUCCAAUCUCUAGAUGGACCGCCAAAAGUUUCACUUCUCUGAAAAUAUUCAGCAACUAUCUUCAAAUUACGCAGAUCAAUGUCAAAAAGCUUCUUGAGACCAGGCCUUUGAACUUUCACAACUACUUUCUCUCCAUUAUGUAGGAUAGCACGGUGCACCUGACCAAGACUAGCUGCCGCAAUUGGUUGGUCCUCAAACUCCUUGAACAGCACAUUGAUGGGAGCUCCCAGUUCACUCUCAAUGAAGCUUCUUGCCUUCUUUGGAGAGAAGGCAGGGACCCUAUCCUGCAACUUGGCAAGCUCAUCCACAAACUCCCGUGGAAAUAGAUCUGACCUUGUUGAAGAUAACUGUCCGAGUUUGAUAAAAGUUGGACCUAGCUGCAAUACUUGCUCCCGUAGCCAUGAAGCAGUUUUUCGCCUUCGAAUUUUCUGCUUCUGUUCUUUGAAGCCUCCCAAAUAUGCCCAUUUUUCAUUGUCAAACAGAACACGAACACGCAAAGAAAGAACGAAGGACCAUACAUCAAUAGUCCUCUGCCAGUUGUUAUAAUUCUCAUUUGCCCAACUGAAACCUUCAUCUGUGGGCAAAACCUUUGAAUCCUCCAAUGGUGGAAGUUUGUCUGUCUGUCUAUAUCUUGAUGUCUUAACAAGUGCAGCACCAGGUCCUCUCUUAAUUAUGUUUGCUCCAUUAACAACCUGCUUUGUAUCAUUAACUUGCUUUGAACCAUUGACUAUCUUUACUUCUUUACCAUUGGGAGUCUUCCUCUUCACCACCUCACUCGCAGGUACCAUCUUAAUCGGUCGUCCAUUGCCAUUGGCAGCUAUCCUUGAGGCUGGUGAUUCGGUUUGUCGCAUUUCCACUUGAAACCUUGAAUUCCUUGAAUGUGGAUUGCAUAUUUGUUUCUCAAACUCUGCAAAUGGAUUAGGAAUUGAACUGGAGAAACUGAGAUUGUCCAAUGUCCUUCCUUGAUUCAUUAAAUCAACAUUGCGACAAUUAUAGCUGUAUGAAGCUAGUAUUGCCGCCAUUCAAGCAAAGAGACACCGGCCAAUAAAGAAUCAGAUAAAGUUGCAGACUUGAGGGGUACUGAUAGAUGGGCGUGAGGCUUGUUAUAAUCAACUCAAAUGUGAUUUUUGAAUAAAGAAUUAGUUGUUCACUGUUCCUGGCGAACUAAUUAGCGAGGAAACAAAGAGCGGGGUGUAGAAAGUCUUGGCGUGUACUCGUGGUUUCCAAUUUCAAGUUUUCAAGGCGUUGUUUGGAUAUUUUGCGGGCAAUUUUUG
rnacentral:misc_RNA from 1 species